UUCCAACUGAGCAUGAUACACUUCAUACUAUUACAAACUUACUCUUGCCUCAUUUGUCCUAAAUAAACAUCAGUUGUCCUUGUGCUUGUAUUUGUUGGGCAAAUUGCCAAAUCUGGGAAAUGCCGCUGCUUCCUCUGAUGCUGCCAUGCUGGCACACUUUCUUUUGGUGGGAAGGAAUGCUGCUGCUAUUUAAAGGAAGCACCUUCUAGGAGGUCCUGCUUUGAGGACCAAAGUUUGUGCCUGGAAUUUGAACUCCACUUGAAACUUGAUCCUGCGCCAAAGAAAAUAAAGACAAGAAAGUGAAACCAAUGGCUGUUUUUUUACGCAAACUGGAAUUUAACUUUCAUUUUAAAUGCGCUGUCGUCCGGAUUGGUUUUGUUGAAUGGGCACCGACGCUUCUGCUCUACAAGCGCAGCUCUCCCCAGCUAAAGAAACCCCGACCUGCGGGAGGGAGCCCGUCGUCCAGGUGAAAAAUGCUGUCUUUCUCGGGGAUGUGACCUGAGUUCUACUUUGAGUUCUUUGUGAGUCUUCCAGCCUGGAUGGUACUGCGGCAAUAUUUUAACAUUUUUCAGAUGGCAUUCCUCCACAUCUUUCCUCUGGUCUUGCUACUACUGAACACAUCAAAUUCUAUUCAGGCUGUGUCUUCUAGUUUCUCAUGUGAAUCAAAUGUUGCAGAACGUGGAAAAACUGCCAGCAUUAUCUGCAAGUACACUAAAGAUAUUAGAAAUGCAUCAGUGAAAUUCUGUUUUGCCAAUACUACCACCUGUCCUGAAAGAAGUGAACUCAACACAUAUAACAGAAAGUUAACCUCUGACCAUGGAAGAAUUUCACUGAAGUUGAAUCACUCCGCCAUCCUGAUUAUUAACAAAGUACAAAUAUUGGACCAAAGAAAUUACUAUUUUUUUCUUGAAGCUGAGAAUCAUUUUGGAAGAAAAUAUGUGUUUCUAAAAGUUGUUGCAACGUAUACUAACCCUCAAGUCAGAAGGCAGAAUGACACUCUUAUAUGUACAGCAACUGGAGGUUAUCCAGAAAAGUACCUCUAUUGGUUUGACAAGUACAAUACCAACCUGACCGAUAGAUCAAAAUUUGUGGCUGUGCCAAAUGCAGACGGCUCAUUCUCUCUCAAUAGUACUCUCCUGGUUGAUUCGUCUGACAGCAAAAUGGCAUACUGCUGUACUAUUAACAACACAAAUAGCUUUCAUGAACCUCAAGGUGGUUCUUGCAUCACAUUUGAAGACGCCACAACCAAUGAGUUGCGAUUAGAAAAGACAAACAAUUCCAUUCUGAUUGUAGUAAUUGUUCUUGUGGUACUCACUGUUAUUCUUCUGGCAUUGUUCUGGAGAAAGAAGAAAGGCUCCAAUAAAAUCUGCAGGAGAGGAGAUUCAAUUGCUUCCAUGCAGCAGAAAUUCCACAGGUUUCUUCCUGGAGAACAAAUUCCAGCAUAGUAUGAAUGGGGGGAAAUAGAUUUAACAGUCUCUCUCGGAUGGAUAUUGAUAAAUAUGGCCUUGGCAUAGGAUACUGACAUCCAGAACUGCAAUGCACAAGUAUAAGAUGGGGAAGAAUUUUGUCUGGCCAUCUACUUUCUAACUCCACUGCAUGUCCUUGUUCUUUUUUAAAAUUAUCAAGAAAAAAACUUUACGUUGAUUGAAAGAAACAGGCAGUUUAUCAGUGUUCGUGAAAAUCACAUUUCUUCAGGGCUUGGAAAAACUGGGUUGAACCUGAAUUUUCCUUAAACAACAGUUGUGGAUGCACUCCUUAUAUAGCACAAACUAGCCUUAUCAUAUGAUCCUUUUGGACUGUCCUUGUGAAUCAGUCCCUUAUGAAUCCAUAUCCCCAUCUGACAGACAGAAACCACUGUGACCUAUAACUACUGAAGGAUACCAAAUGUUAAUCUGAAGAGGCACCGUGAAUGUUUCGAGGGAGAGGAGCAAAUCUUCAAAUAAAAAAAAUGGCUCAGUUGCA
rnacentral:lncRNA from 1 species